ensembl:lncRNA
CAUGAAAUGGUGGGGGAAGAUGAGAGAUCUGGGACCUAAUUUGAGUAGAUCUUCUACAGCUAUUCAGAUGUCACUGCAGACGUUGGAGACUGAAACCAAGGGCUUUAAAGGUCAUGGGAUUCAUUUGCAUUCAAUUGGACUAAGCAGAAGCUCAUCAUAAAUUUGUGCAGCAAGAGAGCAGUGCAUGACUGGACAUGCAGCCCCGCAUUUUGCACAUAAAAGAAAAAACUCUGCAGAGGUAGUGGUUUCCAUCACCAAUUCAACGUCUGUUUUUCUCUCAGGUACAUCUAAAAUGUAGAUAAGCUCAACACUAGAUACUUACUAUGAAGAUACUUACUAUGAAGAUGAAGAGGUAUCUGGUGUUGCAUGUCCCCAGGCCCAGAUCAGAAAUAAUAUAAAUAAAAAAUUUUACUAGUUUCCUGACUUUCCAAUAAUAUUUAAAAAUUCAUAAGUUUAUGAAGAAAAAUCUAUCAGCAGUUCUAUGAAUAGUUGGUGAAAUGAACCCAAUGUAACAGAUGACAAAAUAGACUCCUAUUACAGAUGUAAGGCUACCAAAUGGUUGAGUAAACUGACUUGGACAUCUGUGUUUGUAGAGUGCAGGGUCAAAGAUGGAUCUGAUGAUGACACUUCAGAAUUGAAAUUAAAAUAUUAAAAUAGGCAUUUGUUAUUAAUUCU